rnacentral:rRNA from 1 species
GAUGAACGCUGGCGGCAUGCUUAACACAUGCGAGUCGGACGGGAAGUGCUUUUUCCAGUGUCGGCCGGGUGAGUAACGCGUAAGAACCUGCCCUUGGGAGGGGAACAACAACUGGAAACGGUUCCUAAUACCCCGUAGGCUGAGGACCAAAAGCAGGAAUCCGCCCGAGGAGGGGCUCGCGUCUGAUUAGCUAGUUGGUGAGGUAAUAGCUUACCAAGGCGAUGAUCAGUAACUGGUCCGAGAGGAUGAUCAGCCACACUGGGCCAGAGACACGGCCACGACUCGUGCAGGGGGCAGCGGGGAGGAAUCUUACGCAAUGGGCGAAAGACUGACGGAGCAAUGAGGCGUGGAGGUAGAACGCCCACGGGUCGUGGAAUUCUUUUCUCGGAGAAGAAACAAUGAAGGUAGCUGCGGAAUAAGCAGCGGCUAACUCGGUG